rnacentral:rRNA from 1 species
UACGGAGAGUGCAAGCGUUAUCCGGAUUCACUGGGUUUAAAGGGUGCGUAGGUGGGCAGGUAAGUCAGUGGUGAAAUCUCCGGGCUUAACUCGGAAACUGCCAUUGAUACUAUCUUUCUUGAAUACCGUGGAGGUCAGCGGAAUAUGUCAUGUAGCGGUGAAAUGCUUAGAUAUGACAUAGAACACCAAUUGCGAAGGCAGCUGGCUACACGAAUAUUGACACUGAUGCACGAAAGCGUGGGGAUCAAACAGG